rnacentral:rRNA from 1 species
UACGUAGGGUGCAAGCGUUAAUCGGAAUUACUGGGCGUAAAGCGUGCGCAGGCGGUGAUGUAAGACAGAUGUGAAAUCCCCGGGCUCAACCUGGGAACUGCAUUUGUGACUGCAUCGCUAGAGUACGGCAGAGGGGGGUGGAAUUCCGCGUGUAGCAGUGAAAUGCGUAGAGAUGCGGAGGAACACCGAUGGCGAAGGCAGCCCCCCUGGGCUAACACUGACGCUCAGGCACGAAAGCGUGGGGAGCAAACAGG